rfam:Schistosoma rodhaini strain Burundi genome assembly, scaffold: SROB_scaffold0001290
AGUCACUUGAAGAGUCCCAAAUAGGAUGAAACGCUCGUCCUGAAU